rnacentral:rRNA from 1 species
GGCCAUACCAUGUGAAUAUACCGGUUCUCGUUAGAUCACCGAAGUCAAGCAUCAUUGGGCGCAAUCAGUACUUUGGUGGGUGACCACCUGGGAACACCGCGUGG